rnacentral:rRNA from 1 species
GAUGAACGCUGGCGGCGUGCUUAACACAUGCAAGUCGAGCGAGAAGUUUUGAAUAGAUUCUUCGGAUGAAAUUUAAAAUGGAAAGCGGCGGACGGGUGAGUAACGCGUAGGCAACCUGCCCCAUACAAAGGGAUAGCAUUUGGAAACGAAUAUUAAUACCUUAUGAAACUUAACUAGUGCAUGCUAGGUAGGUCAAAGAUUUAUCGGCGUGGGAUGGGCCUGCGUCUGAUUAGCUAGUUGGUGAGGUAACGGCUCACCAAGGCGACGAUCAGUAGCCGGCCAGAGAGGGUGAACGGACAGAGAGGAAGUGAGGGACGGUCCAAACUCGUACGGGAGGAGGGAGGGGGGAAGAAUGCAGGAUGGGAGAAAGCCGGAUGAAGCAAGGGCGCGUGAAGGAUGACGGCGGUUGGGACGUAAAGUUCUGUUGUAGGGGAUGAAAACUGACAGUAACCUAGGAGAAAGCCCCGGCUAACUACGUG